CUUAUAAGCCAAGUAUUAUGUAUAUAUCAUUUACAAUGAUAAGGUCUUUAUAAAAGGGCUUAU
rnacentral:tRNA from 1 species